GUGGCUGUGCACAGCAGCCUCCUGCUGAGAAACUGCUGAGACUCCAAGCUGCACCAGGGGAAGCCAGUUGACCAUGGGGACUGAAGGAGACCACUCGCUGUGACCAGCAGAGGAGUUGCCAGAGACAGAGGGAAGGUAACAUCUAAAGUUCACAAUGGAGACUCGAGCCCUGCUGUGCUUUGUACCGUGCUUUGCUUGUCUUUCUGUACAUGGUGAGAGUGUAUAUUGAUAUUUCUGUCUUGACAAGAGGAAGUUGCAUGACUACUGCAGGGAGCACAGCUCAAGCAGCUUAAGACUU